CCGGACCACACAGAUUGUUGAAAAUGAAAACAAACUGAUAAGAAGAACGUUUUCUGGUUAUUACAGUGUAGCCCCAUCCAUUAAACUGGAGCCAUUUUAUUGGGCUAUUUGAGAGAGGAUAAAUAUUUUUUUUAGAUUUGUUUUAUGUUCUACUAAUUUUAAUUUCUUUGAAAUGAACAUAGUUUAGUUUUUACAGUGAACUGAAGUUGGAUUUUGAAUUUACUGUUAGUUGUAAGGUUAUUAAGAAAAUCUAUAUUUGGAAUUAAAAUUUUAUUUUUCAUAUUUACAACACAAUAAUGUAUUUAAUACAAUGACAGUGGCAUGGUGACAUAUUCCUUAUUUUGGACAUUUUAUUUAGAAUCUCUGAGCCACAGAUUGGGCGCCACUCAUAGGUUGUUCAGACAGGAAGAGAAUGUGGCUUUUCUAUUCAGCCGUGUUCCAUUAUCAGGCUGUAUUUUACCCCGGGAGAUAUAGGCCUCCUGGACCACGCCUCCUAAAAAAAGAACAUUUUGUUCACAGAACUACACAGGUUUGCAUUGCAGACCACGUGUCACAUUAAGUAACAAGCUCUGAGGUCAACUUACUCAACUUCUUGCACAUUUUUUAAGGCGGUGUAAUGUGUUGCUACAUGCUGGCCCACAGUGUGAAAUCAGUUCGAAGCUGGGUCGGAUUUAAUUUGGAUUUUCUGAUCGGAUUUUUAGUGGUCAGGUUUUACUCUUCGGAUUGGAUCAGAAACCUCCCCCGGAUCCCUUCACCCCGUCUUUCAGUCGACUUUUCAAAGCAUAAUUUGAGUGUGCAGGCUUGAAGAAGUCACCACGUGGGUGGGAAAAAUGGGUGAUUGGCUGUGAUUGCAACAUCAUCCUCAGCUGCAGAGGUAGGUGUGAAGAGUGCUGAUCUCAGAUCACCUGCAAUCUAAUAUAAAACAGACACGAUGAUGCAGAUAUGAACUAUAUUUUAUUUGCAGAUGCAUCCUUUGCUACAAAUGAUCAAGCGUUAUUGCAUUUUAGGCAAGAUAAUAUUUAUGUAGCAUUUACAAAAAGAUUAUCAAAUUGUUUAUUUGCAUUUCCUUUCUCAUGUUGUAUAUAAUAAUUGUAAAUAGUUAAAUAAAAAAAUUGCAGAAAUGGGUAUUUUUUUAGCUGACAUUGAUUAUUCGUCAUAUUAAUUAAUAGAAUAAAUCAGUAAUAACAAUAAUAUAAUUGUUAGCUAUAGCUCUGUGUGUGUGUGUGUGUAUUUAUGUAAAAACUAAAAUAAAUGCAAAAUCUGAAAUAAAUGCAAAUAAAAGGGGGAAAAUAGCCAGCAAGCCACAGGAGAUAAAACAGAAGAACCAGACAAACACCAGAGCAGGCCAUGAGUUGAGUUUGAAUCUCUGAAUUCGGUUAUUUGAUGUAACAUAAACUACCUUUCACUCUGCAUUUUACUUAUUUCUUUUAUAAUUUUUAAACGUGGAAGAAGGUUAAUUUUGUACCAUAUUAUAAUUAUGCAUUAUUUUUUACAUCCUUCAAACCUCUGAGAUAUAAAAUUUAGAUUUUAUUUUGUAUAUCUAGUAAAGGUUUUAGUUGCACUGUGAAGUAUUGACUGAUUUUCAUUGAAAACAUAUCAAGAAUUGAUGUGGUUCAAUCACC